UACGUAGGGGGCUAGCGUUGUCCGGAAUCAUUGGGCGUAAAGAGCGUGUAGGCGGCCCGGUAAGUCCGCUGUAAAAGUCAAAGGCUCAACCUUUGAAUGUCAGUGGAUACUGCCGGGCUAGAGUCCGGAAGAGGCGAGUGGAAUUCCUGGUGUAGCGGUGAAAUGCGCAGAUAUCAGGAAGAACACCCGUGGCGAAGGCGGCUCUCUGGGACGUGACUGACGCUGAGACGCGAAAGCGUGGGGAGCGAACAGG
rnacentral:rRNA from 1 species